rnacentral:misc_RNA from 1 species
CGCACCUUGCGCUCCUUGGUAUUCCGAGGAGCAUGCCUGUUUGAGUGUCAUUUGCUUCUCAAAUCAUGCAAGUGUGUUGCUGCCCUAGCACAACCACACUUCAUGGCUUGGAUAUGGGAUUCUGCUGGUUCUAAAUCAUGGUCCAGCUGUCCUGAAAUAUAUUAGCAAGGCUCUUGUUGCUAGUACUCAUGGUGUGAUAAAUAUCUAUGCCAAAGAGUGUAGCUUUUAAGGAUUGUCUGGCUUAUAACAGUCUCUUUGUAUGGGACAAAAUGCAUUCUGACCACUUGACCUCAAAUCAGGUAGGACUACCCGCUGAACUUAA